rnacentral:lncRNA from 1 species
CUUCACUAGUUGAUAUAUGCAUUAUUAAUGGGGUCUCGCUAUAUUCGAACUUCUGGCCUCAAGAGCUCUUCCCGCCUCAGCCUUCCAAAGGGCUGGGAUUACAGUCAUGAGCCACCGCGCCUAGCCAAUGGUAGCUUGUAAAUACUUUGUAUCUAUUGGCCUGGCUGGGUGGCUCACGCCUGUAAUCCCGGCAGUUUGGGAGGGAGAACUGGGAGGAUAGCUAGAGCCCAGGAGGUCAAGACAAGACUGGGCAACAUCGCAACAUAGCAGGACUCCAUCUCUUAAAAAAAAAAAAAAAAAAAGAAUUAGCCAGCCGUGGUGGUGCAUGUCUGUGAUACCAGCUACAUGGGAGGCUGAGGUAGGAGGAUCCCUUGAACCCAGGAGUUAAGAGGCUGCAAUGAGCUGUGAUCGAGCCACCGUACUCCAGCCUGGGUGACAGAGUGAGACCCUUUUAAGGAGCCUUGAUGGGACCUGAUGACUGGCUUGAUGUGGGAAAUGAUGGCAUCUAGGAUGGCAUCCAGGGACAACAUCUCCAUUUCUUGAUUGAUAAAUCAAUCAAUAGGAAAGAGGAUUUUCUGCAAAUAAGGGAAUCUUAGUUCCUCAUUUCUCUUCGCUACCCCAACCGCUCCUUGCUCAGAAUCAAGCAGUAACAGUGAACUUGGUAGUAGCUCCGAGAAGGAAGUUGGACUUAUCCAACUUCCUUCCUUCCUUGUCCUUGAGAAACCUAGGGGAACUCUAAAACGGAAGCAGAAUCCACUCCCCAACUUCUCCACUCUCUGAAUGAGGAGUGAUUUUUUUGCUUUGUUUUCCAGUUACAAGGCAGGGGAUGUACACGAGGUCCUGGAAGGAAUUCCCCCUUGGUCCUGGUUCAAUCUCUGAUUUGUGAUCCCGGACCACAGAGAGCUCUUCGGUGGGGUAGGCGCAGCACGGAGCAGUUAGGGAUUUGCUUUUUUGGUAAAGAGGGUAUCUGGGAGAAACUGCACUCAAACUUCCUCAGCCACACUCAACAUGGCAGCUUCCUAGCCACGCCCAAAAUGGCGGAACCCUUUGCCGUAGCUGGAGAGACGCUAUUUUCCCAAAAUGGAGCGGAGGAGGAAAAUGUCCAUCACAGCUUCACCCCGCCCCCCGCAGACGGCUAGCACCAAUUAGUAGCGCGCAGAGCGAGUACAAAGCUAGGGGAGGAGCCUGCUGUUGCCCCAGCAACAACCACGGAAACCAAGGCGAGCGCGGUCGCGGAAGUAUCGCGGCUUACAUAUCUCGCAGCCAGGCGGGUCCUGGGAGAGGCGCGAGCCAGGCCUGGUCGGCGCCCGCGGAGAAAAGAAGCAGUCAAGCCCAUGAACUACAACCCCGGUUGCCGCUUUCUCCUCUCCUAACCGUUAAGUGCGCUAAGGGCCAUGGCUGAGGUGCACGUGAUCGGGCAGAUCAUGGGGGCCAGCGGUUUCUCGGAAAGUAGCCUCUUCUGCAAGUGGGGCAUUCACACAGGGGCGGCAUGGAAGCUCCUGUCAGGCGUGCGGGAGGGCCAAACGCAAGUGGACACCCCGCAGAUAGGGGACAUGGCUUACUGGUCCCACCCCAUCGACCUGCACUUCGCCACCAAAGGUCUUCAAG